CGGGUGUAGCUCAAUAGGUAGAGCGCUGGGCUUUGAACUCAGCGGUUGCAGGUUCGAGUCCUGUCGCCCGUA
rnacentral:tRNA from 1 species